UGGGGAAUAUUGGACAAUGGGCGCAAGCCUGAUCCAGCCAUGCCGCGUGGAUGAUGAAGGCCCUAGGGUUGUAAAGUCCUUUUAACGGGGAAGAUAAUGACGGUACCCGUAGAAUAAGCCCCGGCUAACUUCGUGCCAGCAGCCGCGGUAAUACGAAGGGGGCUAGCGUUGCUCGGAAUCACUGGGCGUAAAGCGCACGUAGGCGGAUUCUUAAGUCGGUGGUGAAAGCCUGGAGCUCAACUCCAGAACUGCCUUCGAUACUGAGAGUCUUGAGUCCGGGAGAGGUGAGUGGAACUGCGAGUGUAGAGGUGAAAUUCGUAGAUAUUCGCAAGAACACCAGUGGCGAAGGCGGCUCACUGGCCCGGUACUGACGCUGAGGUGCGAAAGCGUGGGGAGCAAACA
rnacentral:rRNA from 1 species